UGGUAGCAUUUUAUUUUAUUAGAGGAAUCUGUUACAUAAUCGAUAUUCCACGAUAAUUUUCACUUUAAUUAAAAAUUCUAUAUAUCGCCAUCUAAAGAAUUAAUUUAAUAAUACUAUUCUAUAAAAAGUUAGGUCAAGGUGUAAUCUACAUUAAAGUAAAUAAUGGAUUACAUUAAAAACAAUUUAAGAAUAUAAUUAAUAAAUUUUUUAUUAAAAAAGGAUUUAUAAGUAAUGUUAUAAUAGUAUUUUAUCAUG
rnacentral:rRNA from 1 species